AGGGACGCGAGUUCAGAGAAAACCGGCUGUGGGUUCGCAGCGUGUGUGGGAACUCCACUUUGGACGCUUCCCGGGGGUCGCUCCCAAAGAACCACAGAGGUAGAGCGGGACGCAAUGAGCCAUGAACGCCUGGGCUUCUUCCCUAGUUUUCCCGCAGUAGACUCUGGGGGCGCGGUUGCAAAACCUAGCUGCCCACAGGGGCGGGCCCAGGGUGGUACAUUUUGCACCUUGAAGAGGAGACAAGGAUCGAAUCAGGCCGCCCAGCUACUUAAAUGACCAUGCCGUGAGUGAAGGAGGGCCCUGGCUAGCUUUCCCCCAUCGCACCAGGUUUGCCAGGUGGUCAGAACGUGGACCCUGCUGCACGUGGAUGGUGGGGCCUGGAGGGCCCUUGCAGAUCAUCUGGUUGGUGGCGGGAUGACCUUCCCUUUAGAGAGGGUGCCACUGCAGUCCGAAUGCCGAAGGUCACGCAGCCCCCGGGCAGCAGAGGCUGGCAGUUAAGCCAAGCGUUUGUCCCAGUUCACUGCCCUCUGAACUAUUUGAACUCAUGUCUGUGUUAGACCAUGCCCAGGAGAGAAGUGGCAGGUCUGCAUUGUUUCAAAGGUGCUUCUCCCCAACCCCUAGUUGCGAGCUAACCUUUGGUCAAGUCUCCUGCAUCUUUGAACUUCAUCUGAAGAAUAGGAAGAAUAGUGAUACCUACUCUCAAGGAAGAGUUGUAAGGAUUUAAUAGAGGAAGAUUAACAAAACACCAAGUCCAGAAUUUAUAAUGCAGUUUUUUUUUGUUUUUUUUUUGUUUUUUUGUUUUUAAUAAAGAUUACAGGUCUGUGGCCGGGCACAGUGGCUCACGCCUGUAAUCCCAGCACUUUGGGAGGCCAAGGCGGGCAGAUCACGAGGUCAGGAGAUCGAGACCAUCCUGGCUAACACGGUGAAACCCCGUCUCUACUAAAAAUACAAAAAA
rnacentral:lncRNA from 1 species